GACGAACGCUGGCGGCGUGCUUAACACAUGCAAGUCGAACGGAAAGGCCCUGCUUUUGUGGGGUGCUCGAGUGGCGAACGGGUGAGUAACACGUGAGUAACCUGCCCUUGACUUUGGGAUAACUUCAGGAAACUGGGGCUAAUACCGGAUAGGAGCUCCUGCUGCAUGGUGGGGGUUGGAAAGUUUCGGCGGUUGGGGAUGGACUCGCGGCUUAUCAGCUUGUUGGUGGGGUAGUGGCUCACCAAGGCUUUGACGGGUAGCCGGCCUGAGAGGGUGACCGGCCACAUUGGGACUGAGAUACGGCGCAGACUCCUACGGGAGGCAGAAGUGGGGAAUAUUGCACAAUGGGCGGAAGCCUGAUGCAGCAACGCCGCGUGCGGGAUGACGGCCUUCGGGUUGUAAACCGCUUUCGCCUGUGACGAAGCGUGAGUGACGGUAAUGGGUAAAGAAGCACCGGCUAACUACGUG
rnacentral:rRNA from 1 species